AAUCGUAUUUGGAGUUUUCCUCUUAACCCUGUCUCUCCACCUCCUCUUUGCAGACAGUGAAUUUAGCAGCAAAGCUCCCUCCCGAAGUUCUAAAGCUGCGCUGAUGCUGAGUAGAUAUGAGCUGGGGCGGUGCUUGUCUGUUUCUCCAUCCUUAACACGUCCUAGGGUUCUGAUCCAGUAGGUCUGAGAACCUCGCCAGUGAUGCUGCUGCUGCUGUCUGUGGACCCCGCUUGGGAGAAGUAAGCAAGUAAUAAAUCUUCAUCAACUGAUGGAAUCUGAAGAGCCUUCAUAACCUCAUAAGACUGGCCCUGAGGUAAUAGCCGUGCCCAUCUUCCUCUACUUUAUAUGUGGGAUGCCUGCCACAGCAUGGCUUGAUAAGCAAUGAGAAGGUCCCCACCAGGGAUAUGAAUGGGCGAACCCCGGGCUGCUGAAGAGGAGCACGAAAACUUAACUGCUGCACAACUGGGCCGGCCCCUCCAAUUAACUCUUCUUAUCCAAAUAGUGAAAUAAUUAAUACAAUAAAAUAGUCUUAUUGGGGGCCAAAGCAGUACUUUUUUGAUGGUCAUCUUUAACUGUUCUCUUUCUAUUGAAACACUCACUGAAUCCAUACUUUUCUAUAAGGUAACUAUUCAGAAAUGGUUUGUUAAAUUCUUGAAUUUAGAUAUUUGUAUUUUCCCAUUAUAUUUAUCUUCAAAUGCACUGUAAAAUUACUGGGUUCCUUUGGGACAACCUGAAGUCUAAUUUGGACUAAAAAUGUCGUACUAAAAACUACUUAAAUUUCCUUUGCAAAACCAAUUUUGUACUUGCUUCCUAUUUUUUUGACGUAAUAGUUUAUUUAUUCUUUAGUUUUAUAACAACAACUUUGAAGUUAAAUUUCAAUUUUCAAGAUAUCAUUCAAAUUCAUAAGCUGCUAAGAGAGUAGAUCUUGAAAGUCCUCAUCACAAGAAAAAAAUUUGCAAUUACGUGCAGUGAUGGAUGUUAACUAGACUUAUUGUGGUGAUCAUUUUGCAAUAUAUACAAAUACUGAAUCAUUAUUUUGUACACCUGAAAUUAAUAUAAUAUUAUAUGUCAAUUAUAUCUCAAUAAAAAGAAAGAAAAGAAAUAAACAAGAUAUCAUUCAAAUUCAGGAAAAUAUCCAUGCGUGAAAUAAAAUGUGCACAUAUCAAACAAGAAGAUCACAUUUCACCUCAGUUUGCACUGUGACUUAAAUUUUUAAGAAUAAAUAAUAACUCCAACUAGUCAAACAAAUCACUCAAAUUCUAUUUCUUUGUCUUUAAAAAUCAUAGCACUGUCAUUGGUUAUAUUUUGUAUUUUAAAAAUUUUUGUAAAAGACACGUAACAUAAAAUUUACCAUCUAAACCACUUUUAAGAGAAUAGUUCAGUAGUGUUAAUUAUAGUCACAUUGUUGCGCAACAGAUCUCGGGAACUUUUUCAUCUUGCAAAACUGAAACUCAAUACCCACUGAACAACUCCCCAUGUCCUUUCCGUUUCUACAAGUUUGAAUACUUCAGAUAUCUCAUGUAAGUGGAAUCAUACAGAAUGUCUAUUUUGCCAGCUUAGCAUAAUGUUGCUUAGCAUAACGUCUUUGCUUUUUGUGUUUUAAAUUUGUUUUCCAAAGUAAAAAUACCCUUUUAAUUUUUCUGAUUAUGGUACCAUAAGCUCAUAUAAAAGUACCACAGUAUAAAAAGUUCUUCUAUAAUUCCCCAUCCCUCCAACCCCCUAGAUAACCAGUGCUAACCUGCUGUACACAAAUCCAUGUGAACACAUAAAAUAUCUAUGUAAAUACAUUUUAUUUUGCUGCUAUGAACACCUAUCUUUACACACUUUAGUCAUUUUCUUGGGAAUACAUUUCUAGAAGUGGAAUUGCUAAGCUACAAGACAAACUUUUUUUUUUGUAUUGCUAAACUGAUCUACAAAAAGGAAGAAUUUAUUAUAGCCCCAAAUCUUAUAUGAAAACGUGUAUUUCAAUACCAACCAUGCCAUUAACCUUCACAAAUUUCACUUUUAUAUUCAUUGUUGUAUCUUUGUUUAUUAAUGAGAUUAAGUGCAUUUUCGAGCUUAUUGUUAAUUCAUAAUUUUUCUUUAGUAAAGUUUAUAAACUUCAUGUAUUCUGCCUCCAUUUAUUUUUUACUUUUUUUUUUUUUUUGCUGAGGAAAUUCACCAAGAGCUAACAUCUGUUGCCAAUCUUCCUCUUUUU